UAGGGAAUCUUCGGCAAUGGGGGGAACCCUGACCGAGCAACGCCGCGUGAGUGAAGAAGGUUUUCGGAUCGUAAAGCUCUGUUGUCAAGGAAGAACGAGUGUGAGAAUGGAAAGUUCAUGCUGUGACGGUACUUAACCAGAAAGGGACGGCUAACUACGUGCCAGCAGCCGCGGUAAUCCGUAGGUCCCGAGCGUUGCCCGGAUUUAUUGGGCGUAAAGCGAGCGCAGGCGGUUAGAAAAGUCUGAAGUGAAAGGCAGUGGCUCAACCAUUGUAGGCUUUGGAAACUGUUGAACUUGAGUGGAGAAGGGGGGAGUGGAAUUCCAUGUGUGGGGGUGAAAUGCGGAGGUAUAGGGAGGAACACCGGUGGCGAAAGCGGCUCUCUGGUCUGUAACUGACGCUGAGGCUCGAAAGCGUGGGGAGCGAACAGG
rnacentral:rRNA from 1 species